rnacentral:misc_RNA from 1 species
UGGUUCUGGCAUCGAUGAAGAACGCAGCGAAAUGCGAUAAGUAAUGUGAAUUGCAGAAUUCAGUGAAUCAUCGAAUCUUUGAACGCAUAUUGCGCCCUCUGGUAUUCCGGGGGGCAUGCCUGUUCGAGCGUCAUUACAACCCUCAAGCUAAGCUUGGUAUUAGGCUUCGCUUGUAAGAGCGUGCCAUAAAAUCAGUGGCGGUGCUAUUCAGCUUCAAGCGUAGUAAAUUUUCUCGCUUAGAGGUCUGGAUAGGUUCCUGCCAGUAACCCUAAUUUUCAUCAAAAGGUUGACCUCGGAUCAGGUAGGGAUACCCGCUGA